rnacentral:lncRNA from 1 species
UAGCACACCCAACACAGAGACAGAGAGGAGUAGCACACCCAACACAGAGACAGAGAGGAGUAGAACACCCAACAAAGACACAGAGAGGAGUAGCACACCCAACACAGAGACAGAGAGGAGUAGCACACCCAACACAGAGACAGAGAGGAGUAGAACACCCAACACAGACACAGAGAGGAGUAGCACACCCUACACAGAGACACACAGCCCAGUGCCACACACUUUAGAAACCACAAGGAACGUCCAUUCAGCCAGUCCAUGUGUGGGUAUCCUCAACGGACCUGUCACAAAGACCCAGCCUCAGGCCUGCCUCGGUGCUACAAAGCUCCACAUUGAGGCAUGCGUAUCAGGUGUCCGCUGCCAGGAAGAGCACGAGGUGUGUGUCACCAACAGGAACUCAGCAGAGCCGACUGAACCGUCAAAUACGGUGAACGGGAUCUGUCCAAUCAUAUCGUCCGUGGAGGCUGGACUUCCUUUAGAGGCGGGACUUACUGUAGACGUGGGACUUCCUGAAGAGGCGGGACUUCCUUACUUGCUAGACGCCCGUGUGCCUAUACCUGUUCCCGACCCGUAUCUCUCACCGUCACUAAACAGGAAGGGGAUCAACCAGUCAGAAUCCCAGUUAGCCUCACCUGUCCUACCUACUGGGCUAGAGAGUGGAGGAAUUACAGAGAUACAACAACGACAACAACAACAAACACAGCACUCCAGUUCACAACCCCAGGAAAAGGAUGCCGUUCAAACCCAGGGCCUAAUCCCUGAGCUCCAGGACCAGGGGGGCUCUAGCCCAGAGACACCCAGGGACAGUGAGCACUCACCUGGGGAGCAUGAGUGGGAUGAGGCCUGGCUGAGGGAAGGCUCCACCUCUGUAGAGCUCAAGCCUGGUUUUGCUCAUCCUCAGUCUGACACUGAGGGGGGCAUUGAGGAAUGCCUACCCUCCAACCCCUACUCCCUCCCCCACAUAGACAGGUCGCUUUGCUCUGACAGCUUAGGGUCAGACGACUCAGAACAUUCCCAGCUGAAGACCUCAGACAGAGAGUACAGAACAGGAUCAACCCAUUCCCUGUCUGUGGAAAGAGAGGAAGAGAAGGAGGAGGAGCGAGAGGAGGAGGAAGAUAGUCAUGUUUACAGUCAGCAGGAGCAGGCAGUAGAAAGCACGUCCUGUCCUUAUUCAGCACAGUCAAACACUGUUAUAGCAGAACUCUCUGACUGUACAGACACUGUUAUAGCAGAACUCUCUGACCGUACAGACACUGUUAUAGCAGAACUCUCUGACCGUACAGACACUGUUAUAGCAGAACUCUCUGACCGUACAGACACUGUUAUAGCAGAACUCUCUGACCGUACAGUCACUGUUAUAGCAGAACUCUCUGACCGUACAAACACUGUUAUAGCAGAACUCUCUGACUCUGACCAUAUUGGGCUGCCAAGCACAGAGGAGACAGAGGAUGCUAUAGUCCCCUUCAGCCCUACAGGAGUCUUCAAAGAGAUCACCAGUGAUCUGCUUGUUGACCUCAGCUCACAGGGUGUGUCUAGUGACAUAGGCCAGGGGUCAACCCAACCUACAGAGACUGAAUCUCUUCAGGGAGACAGCACAGAACCCUCUGCCUUAGAUCAGGAAGCCACGCCGCUGAGGAGGAUAAAGAUUACCCUGGGAACAGACUCUACUGUGUGUAACGACGAGGUCCAGAGUCAGCUGAAGGAGCUAGACAUCCAUCACAGCAUUUCUGGGCCUGAACUCUCUCUCUGCACCGUGCCACCCUCCAUCCUGCCUCUGUCCUGCCUCUCUGACUCCAACAACAACACCAAGGCCAGCGAAGGGUCGGUGUUGGGGUCUCCCUGUACAAGGGGUAAGGGGCCAGAGCAGUGGCCCUCCAAGGUAGAGGUAGCCCCCCAAAGCAGCUCAGAGGAGGGUGGAGAUAAAACCCAUGAUGAGUCCCCUUCCCUGACAGAGCCCUCCACGUUUACCUCUGACCUCCUGGGGGAGACACCAGACAGCCCCCUAGAAUACCCCCCUGAGGACUCUGAGGAGUUCCUGUCCUACCUGGCCUACAAGCACUACUGGAGCAGUGAGGACUCAGCCGUGUCCGGGUUGGGGGACGAGUUUCACUUCAGCUUGGCUGAGGUGGAGGAGCUAGAGAGGCUCCAGGGAGAGGGCCACGGAGACGUCCCUUAUCAGAACCAUACAGACACUGCAGGCUGUAGGAGAGAUAUAUCUAACCAUACAGACACUACAGGCUGUAGGAGAGAUAUCUCACACCAUACAGACACUACAGGCUGUAGGAGAGAUAUAUCUAACCAUACAGACACUACAGGCUGUGGGAGAGAUAUAUCUAACCAUACAGACACUACAGGCUGUGGGAGAGAUAUAUCUAACCAUACA